rnacentral:rRNA from 1 species
UAAUAGUGUAUAUUAAAGUUGUUGCAGUUAAAAAGCUCGUAGUUGAAUGUUGGUGUCGAACGAGCGGUCAGCUUCGGCUGUACUGCUCUCUCGACUCCUUCCUUCUGUGGACUACGUCGCACUUUACUGUGUGGCGCUAGGACGCAGAUCGUUUACUGUGAAAAAAUUAGAGUGUUCAAAGCAGGCUUAUGCCGUUGAAUAUAUUAGCAUGGAAUAAUGAUAUAGGACCUUGGUACUAUUUUGUUGGUUUGCGCACUGAGGUAAUGAUUAAUAGGGACAGUUGGGGGUAUUCGUAUUCCAUUGUAAGAGGUGAAAUUCUUGGAUUUUUGGAAGACGAACUACUGCGAAAGCAUUUACCAAGGAUGUUUNCAUUA